CGCCGCUUUUCUUUCCUGCCUUUCCUUUCCAAGAUUAUAAUGCCAAAAUCUUCAGUACGUUUAAGCCUCCUCGCUCUUUGCUUAUUUUCUUGUAAGUUUGUAGUUUCCUUACUCUUAGUUUCAAUGCCAAAGGGGAAGAGAAUAAAAAAUUGAAUGAAAAGAAGGAGAUGGAGAUUUCAGAACCUGGUGCUAGAUCCUCCAAAGCGUGUGGCCAGCAUCAUUUCUAGCUCAAGGCUUGGGACUUUUCUUUGUUUUUCCCAAAUUUAUUCUCCUUCGUUAUAUAUAUUUUUUCUCAGAAAGCUCCUUCAUUCUCCGUUCAAAUCAGAUUAUUUUUUUAUAUUAUUGUUCCUUAUUUUUCUUACCCUUUUCAAAUCAGGUGGCUUUUUUGAUGUGGUUGCUCUUCAUCUUUUAAAAAAAAAAUCUACAAGAAACUGUUUAUCCUCCGUCAGUUCAGCCUUUGAAUAUGAUGGCGAGGCUUCUUCGAAAUGCUUCUUCUCUCGGAUGCCUCUAUUUUUGCAACCUCUCUCUCCGACUUUAUAGGAAAGUCUUGUUAGGGGCAUACACUCAACUCUCCUACUUUUCCUCCAAAAGGUAGAAGAAAAUCCAAGUCAAACGUCAAAGAAAGAUUUGGUGCUCAAGUACUAUCAGAUCACUGCAUCAUUUGGAAAAGGUUCUAUCAUGUGGCUUGGCCGCUCUGCCCCUGUCAAACAAGUUCCAGUUGUGUCCACAGCUUCAUUUGCUUUGGAUAUUGCAUUUGGGAUUGGAGGACUUCCAAGGUUCUAUCAUGUGGCUUGGCCGCUCUGCCCCUGUCAAACAAGUUCCAGUUGUGUCCACAGCUUCAUUUGCUUUGGAUAUUGCAUUUGGGAUUGGAGGACUUCCAAAGGUUGUCACGGGAGAGCUUAGCAAAUCUUGCCAUGGGGACAGCAGAAACAAAAUUGCUUUUGGAUAGGGGAAAGAUGCAUUGUGCGUUUCAAGCUCUAUGCCAAUGUAAUUAGUUUAUCAUGAAAUUGUUAUAGGUUUUUUUUUGGUUAAUCUGUAACUAAAUUCCAUCAGACACAAACAAUUCCAUUAAAUGGAUCCACUUUGAAUAUGUACAAAUCAUUUUAUUACACUGGGCAUCUGCAUUUUUUUCC